rnacentral:siRNA from 1 species
CUUUAUCUUGAUAAUGAUGGACAU